GGGGUGGUAGUUCAGCUGGUUUAGAACGCCUGCCUGUCACGCAGGAGGUCGCGAGUUCGAGUCUCGUCCAUCCCGCCA
rnacentral:tRNA from 1 species